AAAGUAUGAAUUUCUAAUUAUAAUAGAGAAGGUGUAUAACUGUAUUUCUAUUUUCUAUUAUUGUUGAAUAUAAAUAUAUAUCUAGUGGGGUCCUCCGUUGUGCUUUUUACAACGAGAGGCCGUAUUCUAUCUUUAAAAUAAAGUAAGUUCUGGUAAUUUUAAAUGGUUUUAUUUAUUAUAUUUAGUAAAAUGGAUAACGUUAACUUGAAGCGGGUUAUUUAUUUUUGGCUUUCUUUUCCUUAACAGAACGCUUGUGUGCUCGUAAUUUAUACUUUGUCUACGAGUCCCGUAAUAUUAUCGGGAGAGGAACCCCUGUCCAAGGGAUAGGGGUUUUUACCUGGAGAAUAAAGUGUAAACCAAA